rnacentral:rRNA from 1 species
AGCGAACGCUGGCGGCAGGCUUAACACAUGCAAGUCGAGCGGGCACUUCGGUGUCAGCGGCAGACGGGUGAGUAACACGUGGGAACGUACCCUUCGGUUCGGAAUAACGCUGGGAAACUAGCGCUAAUACCGGAUACGCCCUUUUGGGGAAAGGUUUACUGCCGAAGGAUCGGCCCGCGUCUGAUUAGCUAGUUGGUGGGGUAAUGGCCUACCAAGGCGACGAUCAAUAGCUGGUCUGAGAGGAUGAUCAGCCACACUGGGACUGAGACACGGCCCAGACUCCUACGGGAGGCAGCAGUGGGGAAUAUUGGACAAUGGGCGCAAGCCUGAUCCAGCCAUGCCGCGUGAGUGAUAAAGGCCUUAGGGUUGUAAAGCUCUUUUGUCCGGGACGAUAAUGACGGUACCGGAAGAAUAAGCCCCGGCUAACUUCGUG